rnacentral:tRNA from 1 species
UCCCGGGUGGCCUAGACAGUAAAAGCAUCUACCUACAAUGUAGGAGACCCGGGUUCGAUCCCUGGGUCGGGAA